AAAGGCCGCGGCCCCGGCCUGCAGGGCCCUGUCCUGUGGCCCCGCUGGGUCUCACUCUGCCUCCCCGAGUGACCAUGGGGAAGGAGCUAUAGGAACUCAGGGGCCCACCUCAGAGCUGCAACCGGAGAGGUGGACACUGGGGGCAGUGCGUGCCGGCUGUGAAGACUUUAUGCCAAGGAGAGAAAUGCUGUGAAUGCGUCUCGUAAUGAUGAUGGAUUACACGUGAGGAACGUGGCCGGCGAGUUGGCCAAAUUACCCGAGCCUGCCGUGGGCCGACUUGGGUCUGAAUUAUGGAGAAGAUGAAUUUUGGAAUCCUUUCUGCCGCGAGGACAAUGGAUAAGCUUUGUGGGCGAUUCCGCAGAGCAGAUGUCGGCCGUGCUG